UACGUAGGGGGCAAGCGUUGUCCGGAUUUAUUGGGCGUAAAGAGCGUGUAGGCGGCCAGAUAGGUCAGCUGUGAAAACUCGAGGCUCAACCUCGAGACGUCGGUUGAAACCAUCUGGCUAGAGUCCGGAAGAGGAGAGUGGAAUUCCCGGUGUAGCGGUGAAAUACGCAGAUAUCGGGAAGAACACCCGUGGCGAAGGCGGCUCUCUGGGACGGUACUGACGCUGAGACGCGAAAGCGUGGGGAGCGAACAGG
rnacentral:rRNA from 1 species